CCCGGCUAACUACGUGCCAGCAGCCGCGGUAAUACGUAGGGGGCGAGCGUUUCCGGAAUGACUGGGCGUAAAGGGCGUGUAGGCGGCGCUAUAAGUCUGGAGUGAAAGUCCGCUUUCAAGGUGGGAAUAGCUUUGGAUACUGUAGAGCUUGAGUGCGGAAGAGGUAAGUGGAUUCCCAGUGUAGCGGUGAAAUGCGUAGAGAUUGGGAGGAACACCAGUGGCGAAGGCGACUACUGGGCCGUAACUGACGCUGAGGCGCGAAAGCGUGGGGAGCGAACAGGAUUAGAUACCUGGUAGUCCACGCGGUAAACGAUGAAUGCCAGGUGUUGCGGGUAUCGACCCCUGCAGUGCGGAGUAAACACAAUAAGCAUUCCGCCUGGGGAGUACGGCCGCAAGGUUGAAACUCAAAGGAUUGACGGGGGCCCGCACAAGCAGCGGAGCAUGUUGUUUAAUUCGAAGCAACGCGAAGAACUUACCAGGUCUUGACAUCGAGAUAAACCCGUAGAGAUACGGGGUGGCUUCGUCCGAUCGAGACAGGUGGUGCAUGGUUGUCGUCAGCUCGUGUCGUGAGAUGUUGGGUUAAGUCCCGCACGAGCGCAACCCUUAUGGUCAGUUACUAACGCGUAAAGGCGAGGACUCUGACAAGACUGCGGGGACAACUCGGAGGAAGGUGGGGACGACGUCAAAUCAUCAUGCCCCUUAUGACCUGGGUACAAACGUGCUACAAUGGUGACCACAAAGAGAAGCGAGACUGUAAAGUGGAGCGGAUCUAAAAAAGUCAUCCCAGUUCGGAUUGUGGGCUGCAACCCGCCCACAUGAAGUUGGAGUUGCAGUAAUCGCGGAUCAGCAUGCCGCGGUGAAUACGUUCCCGGGCCUUGCACACACCGCCCG
rnacentral:rRNA from 1 species